rnacentral:rRNA from 1 species
UAGCUAGUUGGUGAGGUAAAGGCUUACCAAGGCGACGAUCUGUAGCGGGUCUGAGAGGAUGAUCCGCCACACUGGAACUGAGACACGGUCCAGACUCCUACGGGAGGCAGCAGUGGGGAAUUUUGAACAAUGGGGGCAACCCUGAUCCAGCCAUGCCGCGUGAGUGAAGAAGGCCUUCGGGUUGUAAAGCUCUUUCGGCCGGGAAGAAAUCGCAUGGGCCAAUACCCUGUGUGGAUGACGGUACCGGAAUAAGAAGCACCGGCUAACUACGUGCCAGCAGCCGCGGUAAUACGUAGGGUGCGAGCGUUAAUCGGAAUUACUGGGCGUAAAGCGUGCGCAGGCGGUUUUGUAAGACAGGCGUGAAAUCCCCGGGCUUAACCUGGGAACUGCGUUUGUGACUGCAAGGCUAGAGUACGGCAGAGGGGGGUGGAAUUCCACGUGUAGCAGUGAAAUGCGUAGAGAUGUGGAGGAACACCAAUGGCGAAGGCAGCCCCCUGGGUCGAUACUGACGCUCAUGCACGAAAGCGUGGGUAGCAAACAGGAUUAGAUACCCUGGUAGUCCACGCCCUAAACUAUGUCAACUAGGUGUUGGGUGGGUAAAACCAUUUAGUACCGUAGCUAACGCGUGAAGUUGACCGCCUGGGGAGUACGGCCGCAAGGUUAAAACUCAAAGGAAUUGACGGGGACCCGCACAAGCGGUGGAUGAUGUGGAUUAAUUCGAUGCAACGCGAAAAACCUUACCUACCCUUGACAUGCCAGGAACUUGCCAGAGAUGGCUUGGUGCCCGAAAGGGAGCCUGGACACAGGUGCUGCAUGGCUGUCGUCAGCUCGUGUCGUGAGAUGUUGGGUUAAGUCCCGCAACGAGCGCAACCCUUGUCGUUAAUUGCCAUCAUUUAGUUGGGCACUUUAACGAGACUGCCGGUGACAAACCGGAGGAAGGUGGGGAUGACGUCAAGUCCUCAUGGCCCUUAUGGGUAGGGCUUCACACGUCAUACAAUGGUCGGUACAAAGGGUUGCCAAGCCGCGAGGCGGAGCCAAUCCCAGAAAGCCGAUCGUAGUCCGGAUUGCAGGCUGCAACUCGCCUGCAUGAAGUCGGAAUCGCUAGUAAUCGUGGAUCAGCAUGUCACGGUGAAUACGUUCCCGGGUCUUGUACACACCGCCCGUCACACCAUGGGAGCGGGUUCCGCCAGAAGUAGGUAGCCUAACCGCAAGGGGGGCGCUUACCACGGCGGGGUUCGUGACUGGGGUGAAGUCGUAACAAGGUAGCCGUAGGGGAACCUGCGGCUG